AACGAACGCUGGCGGCAGGCCUAACACAUGCAAGUCGAGCGAGGACUUCGGUCCUAGCGGCUGACGGGUGAGUAACGCGUGGGAACGUGCCCUUUGCUUCGGAAUAGCCCUGGGAAACUGGGAGUAAUACCGGAUGAGCCCUUUGGGGGAAAGAUUUAUCGGCGAAGGAUCGGCCCGCGUUGGAUUAGGUAGUUGGUGGGGUAAUGGCCUACCAAGCCGACGAUCCAUAGCUGGUUUGAGAGGAUGAUCAGCCACACUGGGACUGAGACACGGCCCAGACUCCUACGGGAGGCAGCAGUGGGGAAUCUUAGACAAUGGGGGAAACCCUGAUCUAGCCAUGCCGCGUGAGCGAUGAAGGCCUUAGGGUUGUAAAGCUCUUUCAGCUGGGAAGAUAAUGACGGUACCAGCAGAAGAAGCCCCGGCUAACUCCGUG
rnacentral:rRNA from 1 species